rnacentral:rRNA from 1 species
UCUCGGCGGCAGGCCUAACACAUGCAAGUCGAGCGGAAACGACACUAACAAUCCUUCGGGUGCGUUAAUGGGCGUCGAGCGGCGGACGGGUGAGUAAUGCCUAGGAAAUUGCCUUGAUGUGGGGGAUAACCAUUGGAAACGAUGGCUAAUACCGCAUAAUGCCUACGGGCCAAAGAGGGGGACCUUCGGGCCUCUCGCGUCAAGAUAUGCCUAGGUGGGAUUAGCUAGUUGGUGAGGUAAUGGCUCACCAAGGCGACGAUCCCUAGCUGGUCUGAGAGGAUGAUCAGCCACACUGGAACUGAGACACGGUCCAGACUCCUACGGGAGGCAGCAGUGGGGAAUAUUGCACAAUGGGCGAAAGCCUGAUGCAGCCAUGCCGCGUGUAUGAAGAAGGCCUUCGGGUUGUAAAGUACUUUCAGUUGUGAGGAAGGGGGUAGCGUUAAUAGCGCUAUCUCUUGACGUUAGCAACAGAAGAAGCACCGGCUAACUCCGUGCCAGCAGCCGCGGUAAUACGGAGGGUGCGAGCGUUAAUCGGAAUUACUGGGCGUAAAGCGCAUGCAGGUGGUUCAUUAAGUCAGAUGUGAAAGCCCGGGGCUCAACCUCGGAACUGCAUUUGAAACUGGUGAACUAGAGUACUGUAGAGGGGGGGUAGAAAUUUCAGGGUGUAGCCGGGUGAAAAUGCGUUAGAAGAAU